rnacentral:rRNA from 1 species
GUGCCAGCAGCCGCGGUAAUUCCAGCUCCAAUAGCGUAUAUUAAAGUUGUUGUGGUUAAAAAGCUCGUAGUUGAACCUUGGGCCUGGCUGGCCGGUCCGCCUCACCGCGUGCACUGGUCCGGCCGGGCCUUUCCCUCUGUGGAACCCCAUACCCUUCACUGGGCGUGGCGGGGAAACAGGACAUUUACUUUGAAAAAAUUAGAGUGCUCCAGGCAGGCCUAUGCUCGAAUACAUUAGCAUGGAAUAAUAAAAUAGGACGCGCGGUUCUAUUUUGUUGGUUUAUAGGACCGCCGUAAUGAUUAAUAGGGACAGUCGGGGGCAUCAGUAUUCAACUGUCAGAGGUGAAAUUCUUGGAUCAGUUGAAGACUAACUACUGCGAAAGCAUUUGCCAAGGAUGUUUUCAUUAAUCAGGAACGAAAGUUAGGGGAUCGAAGACGAUCAGAUACCGUCGUAGUCUUAACCAUAAACUAUGCCGACUAGGGAUCGGACGGUGUUAUUCAUGACCCGUUCGGCACCUUACGAGAAAUCAAAGUGCUUGGGCUCCAGGGGGAGUAUGGUCGCAAGGCUGAAACUUAAAGAAAUUGACGGAAGGGCACCACCAGGGGUGGAGCCUGCGGCUUAAUUUGACUCACACGGGGAAACUCACCAGGUCCAGACACAUAAGGGAUGACAGAUUGAGAGCUCUUUCUUGAUUUUGUGGUGUGAUGCAUGGACCGUUCUUACUGGUGGGGUGACUGUCUGCUUAAUUGCGAUAACGAACGAGACCUUAACCUGCUAAAUAGGCCCGCAUUGCUCG